rnacentral:rRNA from 1 species
ACGCGAUGAACCUUACCAGGUCUUGACAUCCUCUGACACUCCUAGAGAUAGGACGUUCCCCUUCGGGGGACAGAGUGACAGGUGGUGCAUGGUUGUCGUCAGCUCGUGUCGUGAGAUGUUGGGUUAAGUCCCGCAACGAGCGCAACCCUUGAUCUUAGUUGCCAGCAUUAAGUUGGGCACUCUAAGGUGACUGCCGGUGACAAACCGGAGGAAGGUGGGGAUGACGUCAAAUCAUCAUGCCCCUUAUGACCUGGGCUACACACGUGCUACAAUGGAUGGUACAAAGGGCAGCAAAACCGCGAGGUCGAGCAAAUCCCAUAAAACCAUUCUCAGUUCGGAUUGUAGGCUGCAACUCGCCUACAUGAAGCUGGAAUCGCUAGUAAUCGCGGAUCAGCAUGCCGCGGUGAAUACGUUCCCGGGCCUUGCACUCACCGCCCGU